rnacentral:lncRNA from 1 species
UUUUUUUUUUUUUUUUUUUUUAAAUGGCAAAGGCAGAUGUCUUUGCUUAAGUUUCCUGGCAUCCCUGGCAGCUGAUUGGGACACCUCUGAGCUCUACUGCAGCUCCUGCUAAAGCCACUUGCUUGGGUUUGCAGGGUACAGCUCUGCAGCUGCUCAUGGGUCUAGGCAGGCUUCUCCAACCUCAGAAGUUCUGCAGGUCUUUGCAGGCUCCCUCCCCAGCUUCCCUCGCGUGCCAUCCUUGGGGAAGGGGCUAUCAUCAUCGUCUGGGCUUGGCAAGGAGUAGUCCAUGUUCUGUGGACCCACACUGUGAAAAGCAUGGCCCUGCAUCACCUGGGAACUGGUAGACAUACAGAAUCUCAGGUCCCACACCAGAACUACUGAGUCAGCUUCUGCAUUUCCACAAGGUCCCCAAGUGCUCCGUGCACACACUAAAGUAUGAAUGGAGUCCUGCUUUGGGAUGUGGCUGCCCACCUGCAGAAGAUUAGGGUCCAAGACCAAGAAGGAUGAGGCCCCUCAUCUACUCUCUACUUCCAUUACUUUACAUUUGUUUCUGCUUUUGCUGCAAUCAAUAACUGUCUUAUUUGUUUGUUUAUUGUCUAUCUCCCCCAGAAUGUAAAUCAUGUGGGGGCAAAGAUACUUUCUCAGUCAGUGCUGAAUUCAUAGUGUCUUGCCCAUAGCUCAGCACAAGGUAGGCAUUCAAAAAAUAUGAGUAGGUUGGCUGGUGGGUUGGAUAAAUGUGUGAAUGAAGGAAUGAAGAUAGAGAAAGGGGAAGAAGGAGGGAAAUAGGUAGGCGCUUUGGCUGACAAGUUGGCUGCCCUCUUGUUCAGGUCCUUAGAGACAACUCUAGUCAUUCUCACUCCGCUGUGAAUGUUUUAGCCCAGGUGCAAGGCUGGCGUCAGUAGCAAUGUGACUGGGUGGGAUACAGCGUUGUUGCAAGAAAUCUCCAGUCGCCAGCAAGCACUGUGAUUAAAGAAUGUGGUUGUCACAUUUAUUUCAGCAGGGAAACUCCUUUGUAAAUGAAAUCUGAUGCAGAAACCCGAUCUAGAUGAUGUAUGUAUCCGGGGUGUUCAUGCUCUCGGGUUCCAGAUCGGGGGACGCUGACAUGCCCAGCUCAGGCCUCCCAACCACAGGUGCCCUCAAGGGGAUAGGGUCUUCCUCCUGGGCCACUCUGGGCACUUGCUCUGGCAUCCCUUUCCCUCCAUCCUUCUUGUUCUGUGCUCACCUUUUUUAGAUUGCAUGCACAAAAGCUCUUCUGUGUCUCCCCUUUCGUGAUGGGGCUUGAUGGUUCAUCAGAGUAAUGCCAAAGCCAGUCAUGUUCCUGCAACAGGGCCAGCCUGAUAGUACUGGGCACAGCACCCUGAGUCCUCCCCGGAGCCCAGCAACCUUCCCCAGCCCACACAAGACUUUUUAUCCUGCUAAACAGAUAACAGCAGAAGGAUCCCUAGAGCAACAGUGUGGCUUGGGGACCAGAGCCUCCUCCCUAAGGCCAACCCCUCUCCAGCUGCCUCCUUGUUGCUCCUAAAGAAUUACUCAAUGACAGACCUUGGUCAAUAAAUCCCUCCUACCCAGUUUCACAGAUGGAAAAACUGAAGCCAGAGAAGAGCAGAGACCUGCCUUUGGCCCCCCAGUGGCUGAGCUGGGGUGACAUUGCAUCCCCUGGGAGAUCCGUAGCUCUUCCCCUAACCCCUUCUCCAGCCUGGCCCUCUCUUUCGGCAAAAAAAAAAAAAAAAAAUGCCAAGCAAUGGUGAGUUACUAAACUGAUGGUCCCUAGGGGCCAAGUUAUGGAAGGAUGACUUGUUUUUCUCUGUGGUCAAGUGUCCUUUUACUGACAACUCUUCAGUAGUGCAAAAUUCAGACUGAUCUUUGUAUGAUAUUUGGUGACUGGGUCGCCAUCACAAGUGUAGGGUGGCAUGCAAUCAAAACACAGCAGGAGGCAGCUUUGGCCCUUGAAUCAUUUGUUCAUAAAAGAUUACUUUUUCAGUAGCUGGAGAAUCAAAAUUGUGAGUUUUUACUGAUACAAUGGAUCACAUGGUUCACUUUUUUUUUUUUUUAGACAGAGUUUUGCUCUUGUCACCUAGGCUGGAGUGCAAUGCCACAAUCUCGGCUCACUGCAACCUCUGCCUCCCAGGUUCAGGCAAUUCUCCUGCCUCAGCCUCCUGAGUAGCUAGGAUUACAGGCGCCCACCACCACACCCGGCUAGUUUUGUAUUAUUAGUAGAGACAGGGUUUCACCAUGUUGGCCAGGCUGGUCUCAUACUCC